rnacentral:rRNA from 1 species
GAUGAACGCUGGCGGCGUGCCUAAUACAUGCAAGUCGAGCGAACGGACGAGAAGCUUGCUUCUCUGAUGUUAGCGGCGGACGGGUGAGUAACACGUGGAUAACCUACCUAUAAGACUGGGAUAACUUCGGGAAACCGGAGCUAAUACCGGAUAAUAUUUUGAACCGCAUGGUUCAAAAGUGAAAGACGGUCUUGCUGUCACUUAUAGCUGGAUCCGCGCUGCAUUAGCUAGUUGGUAAGGUAACGGCUUACCAAGGCAACGAUGCAUAGCCGACUUGAGAGGGUGAUCGGCCACACUGGAACUGAGACACGGUCCAGACUCCUACGGGAGGCAGCAGUAGGGAAUCUUCCGCAAUGGGCGAAAGCCUGACGGAGCAACGCCGCGUGAGUGAUGAAGGUCUUCGGAUCGUAAAACUCUGUUAUUAGGGAAGAACAUAUGUGUAAGUAACUGUGCACAUCUUGACGGUACCUAAUCAGAAAGCCACGGCUAACUACGUG